UACGUAGGCAGCAAGCGUUGUUCGGAAUUACUGGGCGUAAAGAGUGUGUAGGCGGUGUUCUAAGUCUGUUGUGAAAUCUCCCGGCUUAACUGGGAGGGUGCGGCGGAGACUGGAAUGCUAGAGUGUGGGAGAGGUAAGCGGAAUUCCUGGUGUAGCGGUGAAAUGCGUAGAUAUCAGGAGGAACACCUGUGGCUAAGGCGGCUCUCUAGUACGGUACUGACGCUGAGACGCGAAAGCGUGGGGAGCGAACAGG
rnacentral:rRNA from 1 species